AAAGUCGUAACAAGGUUUCCGUAGGUGAACCUGCGGAAGGAUCAUUACAGAGUUCAUGCCCUUACGGGUAGAUCUCCCACCCUUGAAUAUACUACCAUUGUUGCUUUGGCGGGCCGCCUUCGGCCACUGGCUUCUAGCUAGUGAGUGCCCGCCAGAGGACCCUAAACUCUGAAUUUUGUAUUGUCUGAGCACUAUAUAAUAGUUAAAACUUUCAACAACGGAUCUCUUGGUUCUG
rnacentral:misc_RNA from 1 species